rnacentral:rRNA from 1 species
CCGUAACUAUAACGGUCCUAAGGUAGCGAAAUUCCUUGUCGGGUAAGUUCCGACCUGCACGAAUGGCGUAAUGAUGGCCAGGCUGUCUCCACCCGAGACUCAGUGAAAUUGAACUCGCUGUGAAGAUGCAGUGUACCCGCGGCAAGACGGAAAGACCCCGUGAACCUUUACUAUAGCUUGACACUGAACACUGGUCCUUGAUGUGUAGGAUAGGUGGGAGGCUUUGAAGUGUGGACGCCAGUCUGCAUGGAGCCAUCCUUGAAAUACCACCCUUUAAUGGCUGGUGUUCUAACGUGGGCCCCUAAUCGGGGUUGCGGACAGUGUCUGGUGGGUAGUUUGACUGGGGCGGUCUCCUCCUAAAGAGUAACGGAGGAGCACGAAGGUCAGCUAAUCCUGGUCGGACAUCAGGAGGUUAGUGCAAUGGCAUAAGCUGGCUUGACUGCGAGCGUGACGGCGCGAGCAGGUGCGAAAGCAGGUCAUAGUGAUCCGGUGGUUCUGAAUGGAAGGGCCAUCGCUCAACGGAUAAAAGGUACUCCGGGGAUAACAGGCUGAUACCGCCCAAGAGUUCAUAUCGACGGCGGUGUUUGGCACCUCGAUGUCGGCUCAUCACAUCCUGGGGCUGAAGUAGGUCCCAAGGGUAUGGCUGUUCGCCAUUUAAAGUGGUACGCGAGCUGGGUUUAGAACGUCGUGAGACAGUUCGGUCCCUAUCUGCCGUGGGCGCUGGAGAAUUGAGGGGGGCUGCUCCUAGUACGAGAGGACCGGAGUGGACGCAUCACUGGUGUUCGGGUUGUCAUGCCAAUGGCAUUGCCCGGUAGCUAAAUGCGGAAGAGAUAAGUGCUGAAAGCAUCUAAGCACGAAACUUGCCCCGAGAUGAGUUCUCCCUGACUCCUUGAGAGUCCUGAAGGAACGUUGAAGACGACGACGUUGAUAGGCCGGGUGUGUAAGCGCAGCGAUGCGUUGAGCUAACCGGUACUAAUGAACCGUGAGGCUUAACCUU